rnacentral:tRNA from 1 species
GCCUAGGUGUAGUGGUUUGAGUGUUGGACUACAACUCUGGGGACCAGGGUUCAAAUCCUGGCUUGGCCA